rnacentral:rRNA from 1 species
GAUCAUGGCUCAGGAUGAACGCUAGCGGCAGGCCUAACACAUGCAAGUCGAGGGGCAGCGACGGUGUAGCAAUUACACUGGUGGCGACCGGCGCGACGGGUGCGUAACGCGUAUGCAACCUACCCCAUAACAGGGGGAUAACACUGAGAAAUUGGUACUAAUACCCCAUAACAUCAGGACCGGCAUCGGUUUUGGUUGAAAACUCCGGUGGUUAUGGAUGGGCAUGCGUUGUAUUAGCUGGUUGG